rnacentral:rRNA from 1 species
CUACGGGAUGCAGCAGUCGGGAAUAUUGCGCAAUGGAGGAAACUCUGACGCAGUGACGCCGCGUAUAGGAAGAAGGUUUUCGGAUUGUAAACUAUUGUCGUUAGGGAAGAUAAAAGACAGUACCUAAGGAGGAAGCUCCGGCUAACUACGUGCCAGCAGCCGCGGUAAUACGUAGGGAACAAGCGUUAUCCGGAUUUAUUGGGUGUAAAGGGUGCGUAGACGGGACAGCAAGUUAGUUGUGAAAUCCCUCGGCUUAACUGAGGAACUGCAACUAAAACUACUAUUCUUGAGUGCAGGAGAGGAAAGUGGAAUUCCUAGUGUAGCGGUGAAAUGCGUAGAUAUUAGGAGGAACACCAGUGGCGAAGGCGACUUUCUGGACUGUAACUGACGUUGAAGCACGAAAGUGUGGGGAGCAAACAGGAUUAGAUACCCGUGUAGUC